AGCAGCAGCCACGGUAAUACGGAAGGUCCAGGCGUUAUCCGGAUUUAUUGGGUUUAAAGGGAGCGUAGGCUGGAGAUUAAGUGUGUUGUGAAAUGUAGACGCUCAACGUCUGACUUGCAGCGCAUACUGGUUUCCUUGAGUACGCACAACGUUGGCGGAAUUCGUCGUGUAGCGGUGAAAUGCUUAGAUAUGACGAAGAACUCCGAUUGCGAAGGCAGCUGACGGGAGCGCAACUGGCGCUUAAGCUCGAAGGUGCGGGUAUCAAACAGGAUUAGAUACCCCAGUAGUCCCUGUCUCUUAUAC
rnacentral:rRNA from 1 species